rnacentral:rRNA from 1 species
UACGGAGGGUGCAAACGUUGCUCGGAAUUAUUGGGCGUAAAGCGCACGUAGGCGGUCCGACAAGUCGGGAGUGAAAUCCCUCGGCUUAACCGAGGAAGUGCUUUCGAAACUAUCGGACUUGAAUACCGGAGAGGGUCGCGGAAUUCCCGGUGUAGAGGUGAAAUUCGUAGAUAUCGGGAGGAACACCAGUGGCGAAGGCGGCGACCUGGACGGAUAUUGACGCUGAGGUGCGAAAGCGUGGGGAGCAAACAGG